rnacentral:misc_RNA from 1 species
GGAUAUUCAGAUUGUACUCGCACAAUCUGACACAGAAUGGAAAGUCUUCUGUUUUGUGGUCAUCCACAACUAAUAAGUGCGAACCCAAGGGACUGUGCGGUCUUAAUGGCUAUUGCGCUUUAAAUGAUUUGGAACCUAAAUGUAUAUGUCUUCCAGGAUUUGCAUCUGUUAAUCCGGGAGAUCGGACUGCUGGAUGUGAGAGGAAUU